rnacentral:rRNA from 1 species
UUGACGGAGAGUUUGAUCCUGGCUCAGGACGAACGCUGGCGGCGUGCUUAACACAUGCAAGUCGAACGAUGAUGCCCAGCUUGCUGGGCGGAUUAGUGGCGAACGGGUGAGUAAUACGUGAGUAACCUGCCCUUGACUCUGGGAUAAGCCUGGGAAACUGGGUCUAAUACUGGAUACUACCGUCCACCGCAUGGUGGGUGGUGGAAAGGGUUUUACUGGUUUUGGAUGGGCUCACGGCCUAUCAGCUUGUUGGUGGGGUAAUGGCUCACCAAGGCGACGACGGGUAGCCGGCCUGAGAGGGUGACCGGCCACACUGGGACUGAGACACGGCCCAGACUCCUACGGGAGGCAGCAGUGGGGAAUAUUGCACAAUGGGCGGAAGCCUGAUGCAGCGACGCCGCGUGAGGGAUGACGGCCUUCGGGUUGUAAACCUCUUUCAGUAGGGAAGAAGCGAGAGUGACGGUACCUGCAGAAGAAGCGCCGGCUAACUACGUGCCAGCAGCCGCGGUAAUACGUAGGGCGCAAGCGUUGUCCGGAAUUAUUGGGCGUAAAGAGCUCGUAGGCGGUUUGUCGCGUCUGCUGUGAAAGCCCGGGGCUCAACCCCGGGUCUGCAGUGGGUACGGGCAGACUAGAGUGCAGUAGGGGAGACUGGAAUUCCUGGUGUAGCGGUGAAAUGCGCAGAUAUCAGGAGGAACACCGAUGGCGAAGGCAGGUCUCUGGGCUGUUACUGACGCUGAGGAGCGAAAGCAUGGGGAGCGAACAGGAUUAGAUACCCUGGUAGUCCAUGCCGUAAACGUUGGGCACUAGGUGUGGGGGACAUUCCACGUUUUCCGCGCCGUAGCUAACGCAUUAAGUGCCCCGCCUGGGGAGUACGGCCGCAAGGCUAAAACUCAAAGGAAUUGACGGGGGCCCGCACAAGCGGCGGAGCAUGCGGAUUAAUUCGAUGCAACGCGAAGAACCUUACCAAGGCUUGACAUUCACCGGACCGCCCCAGAGAUGGGGUUUCCCUUCGGGGCUGGUGGACAGGUGGUGCAUGGUUGUCGUCAGCUCGUGUCGUGAGAUGUUGGGUUAAGUCCCGCAACGAGCGCAACCCUCGUUCUAUGUUGCCAGCACGUGAUGGUGGGGACUCAUAGGAGACUGCCGGGGUCAACUCGGAGGAAGGUGGGGAUGACGUCAAAUCAUCAUGCCCCUUAUGUCUUGGGCUUCACGCAUGCUACAAUGGCCGGUACAAAGGGUUGCGAUACUGUGAGGUGGAGCUAAUCCCAAAAAGCCGGUCUCAGUUCGGAUUGAGGUCUGCAACUCGACCUCAUGAAGUCGGAGUCGCUAGUAAUCGCAGAUCAGCAACGCUGCGGUGAAUACGUUCCCGGGCCUUGUACACACCGCCCGUCAAGUCACGAAAGUUGGUAACACCCGAAGCCGGUGGCCUAACCCCUUGUGGGAGGGAGCCGUCGAAGGUGGGACUGGCGAUUGGGACUAAGUCGUAACAAGGUAGCCGUACCGGAAGGUGCGGCUGGAUCACCUCCUUU